AAGAGGCGAACCAGGGGAACUGAAACAUCUAAGUACCCUGAGGAAAAGAAAUCAACCGAGAUUCCCUUAGUAGUGGCGAGCGAACGGGGACUAGCCCUUAAGUGGCUUUGAGAUUAGCGGAACGCUCUGGAAAGUGCGGCCAUAGUGGGUGAUAGCCCUGUACGCGAAAGUCUCUUAGUCAUGAAAUCGAGUAGGACGGAGCACGAGAAACUUUGUCUGAAUAUGGGGGGACCAUCCUCCAAGGCUAAAUACUACUGACUGACCGAUAGUGAACUAGUACCGUGAGGGAAAGGCGAAAAGAACCCCGGAGAGGGGAGUGAAAUAGAUCCUGAAACCGUAUGCGUACAAGCAGUGGGAGCAGACUUUGUUCUGUGACUGCGUACCUUUUGUAUAAUGGGUCAGCGACUUAUUUUCAGUGGCGAGCUUAACCGAAUAGGGGAGGCGUAGCGAAAGCGAGUCUUAAUAGGGCGUCUAGUCGCUGGGAAUAGACCCGAAACCGGGCGAUCUAUCCAUGGGCAGGUUGAAGGUUAGGUAACACUGACUGGAGGACCGAACCGACUACCGUUGAAAAGUUAGCGGAUGACCUGUGGAUCGGAGUGAAAGGCUAAUCAAGCUCGGAGAUAGCUGGUUCUCCUCGAAAGCUAUUUAGGUAGCGCCUCAUGUAUCACUGUAGGGGGUAGAGCACUGUUUCGGCUAGGGGGUCAUCCCGACUUACCAAACCGAUGCAAACUCCGAAUACCUACAAGUGCCGAGCAUGGGAGACACACGGCGGGUGCUAACGUCCGUCGUGAAAAGGGAAACAACCCAGACCGUCAGCUAAGGUCCCAAAGUUAUGGUUAAGUGGGAAACGAUGUGGGAAGGCUUAGACAGCUAGGAGGUUGGCUUAGAAGCAGCCACCCUUUAAAGAAAGCGUAAUAGCUCACUAGUCGAGUCGGCCUGCGCGGAAGAUGUAACGGGGCUCAAACCAUACACCGAAGCUACGGGUAUCACUUAGGUGAUGCGGUAGAGGAGCGUUCUGUAAGCCUGUGAAGGUGAGUUGAGAAGCUUGCUGGAGGUAUCAGAAGUGCGAAUGCUGACAUGAGUAACGACAAUGGGUGUGAAAAACACCCACGCCGAAAGACCAAGGUUUCCUGCGCAACGUUAAUCGACGCAGGGUUAGUCGGUCCCUAAGGCGAGGCUGAAAAGCGUAGUCGAUGGAAAACAGGUUAAUAUUCCUGUACUUCUGGUUAUUGCGAUGGAGGGACGGAGAAGGCUAGGCCAGCUUGGCGUUGGUUGUCCAAGUUUAAGGUGGUAGGCUG
rnacentral:rRNA from 1 species